GUGCUCACCUCAGCAGCACAUACACUAAAGUUGAAAUGAUACACAGAUUAGCAUGGCCCUAUGCAAGCAUGACAUGCAAAUUCAUGAACUGUUCCAUAUUUUA
rnacentral:snRNA from 1 species